rnacentral:siRNA from 1 species
UUUAGGUGGGCUGGGCUGUUAU